UUUUGAGGCUGGUUUUGCUUGUUUCUGUAGGGCAGGUAUCCAAUUGUUUGAUGUCUGUACAUGAAGGCUUUGAUCUUGCACUUCUUGUAGCUAACUUCUUUUCUUUAACAUAAAACAACCUUGGUAUCCUCAUUAGUUCAAAUAACUUUUCAUAACUCAGCCCCCUCUUUCCUCACUCUCACUUCCCCUCUGUCACAAAGUUUAUUCAACAUCAAAGAGGAAAAUCGUUUCAUCUUUCUUCAAGGAGAAAGGUCAAUACCAAGAAUUCUUUAUUAAGGUCACUACAGUUUGUUCAGCAAACAAGGGUUGAAAGAAAUCAAGACAUGAUACAAUGCAUACUAAAUAUGUACAUUUCAGAUUUUAAGCUGUAGACUGAAUCCCCACCUAUUGUACAGAAAGGAGAGUGAGUGAGGAAGAGAGAACAAGAGGGAGGAAGUGAAGAAUGGGCAGAAUGUCUUGUUGAAAUAAUGAAAAAUCUACAGGAUUUGGUGUAAAGUCUUGUUAA